GACUCGACUCCGUAGCCUGGAGGAACGUGAACGGGUUGGGUCGCGGUGUACCCCGGUUCGAGACUUGUACUCGAGCCGGCCGGAGCCGCGGCUAACGUGGUAUUGGCACUCCCGUCUCGACCCAGCCUACAAAAAUCCAGGAUACGGAAUCGAGUCGUUUUGCUGGUUUCCGAAUGGCAGGGAAGUGAGUCCU
rnacentral:ncRNA from 1 species